rnacentral:rRNA from 1 species
ACGGUAGAGGGGGCAACCCCUCGAGAGUGGCGAACGGGUGAGUAAUAUAUCGGAACGUGCCCAGUCGUGGGGGAUAACGUAGCGAAAGUUACGCUAAUACCGCAUACGAUCUACGGAUGAAAGCGGGGGAUCGCAAGACCUCGCGCGAUUGGAGCGGCCGAUAUCAGAUUAGGUAGUUGGUGGGGUAAAGGCUCACCAAGCCAACGAUCUGUAGCUGGUCUGAGAGGACGACCAGCCACACUGGAACUGAGACACGGUCCAGACUCCUACGGGAGGCAGCAGUGGGGAAUUUUGGACAAUGGACGCAAGUCUGAUCCAGCCAUUCCGCGUGCAGGAUGAAGGCCCUCGGGUUGUAAACUGCUUUUGUACGGAACGAAAAGGUCUCUCUUAAUACGGGGGGCUCAUGACGGUACCGUAAGAAUAAGCACCGGCUAACUACGUGCCAGCAGCCGCGGUAAUACGUAGGGUGCAAGCGUUAAUCGGAAUUACUGGGCGUAAAGCGUGCGCAGGCGGUUAUGUAAGACAGAGGUGAAAUCCCCGGGCUCAACCUGGGAACUGCCUUUGUGACUGCAUAGCUAGAGUACGGUAGAGGGGGAUGGAAUUCCGCGUGUAGCAGUGAAAUGCGUAGAUAUGCGGAGGAACACCGAUGGCGAAGGCAAUCCCCUGGACCUGUACUGACGCUCAUGCACGAAAGCGUGGGGAGCAAACAGGAUUAGAUACCCUGGUAGUCCACGCCCUAAACGAUGUCAACUGGUUGUUGGGUCUUCACUGACUCAGUAACGAAGCU